CUGUGAUGACAGUGUCUGGUCCCGGCGUGGCCGUAUCGUGCGGCCUCAGGACACGGCUGUUCGCAGGACACCCUGACGGAGAGACGACAGCCUGGCGAUGGCAGGAACUUCCCAGAUAGCCAGGCGGCCUUCCUUGGCGCUCCGUGUGGAUCCUCCCCAGCGGGCAUCCGAGAGCUGAGUCAAAGGCUACGACCCGCAGAGGGGAUGAAAGCGGGGUGCCGGGUCGGGACUUGUGACCUGGGAUUUUUGAGUCAGCUUUGGGGACGGGGAGGUCCAGGCUGUGGCCCCUUAGGCCACAUGGUGGCAGAGCCUCACUUUUGUUCACAGUGCUGAGGUGUGCAGGACAGAGCAGCCUCGGGGUGCGUCGUGUCACUUGUCCAUCGUGCCUUCUGUGUUUUUUGUGCCUCUUGUGUUGUAUGUGCCUUCCCUUAUCCCUUCUGGGGGCUUACUAGAAACCCCAGUGUCACUCAUAGCAUCUCUGAUCUCUGGGCUCCUCGGCCCGACGCCAUUGAAGCUUUGCCUCAGGAGCUCUCAGAGGCCUUGGAAUCGCAUCUGUUUUGAAAAGCAUCCGAUCGGAUGUCUUUUAGACGUCUUGUUCCGAGCUGUGUCAACAGCCGUGCACCGCGAGGAUCCAUUGUUGCGGCUUAGGACUUGAAGAAACGCAAAGAUAGGUAGAGGAUUGCUGCCAUAAGAUUCUUGGGCCUCCGUCUUGGCGGUUCCUGGAGUUUGUCAUUCCGUCAGCAUCUUCUUCCUCCCGGGUUCUGCGAGCUUCAUCAGCUCGCCUUCAUUCUCACCCGGCUCAUCUCGUUCUGCAUUCUCUCAGUCCUUGCGGCCGUUCUUGUGGCCCAGAGUUUUGUCUCCCCAUUGUGUCCCCUCGUCUGUUGUCUGGUGUGUCACGGGUGUCUGGGUGUAGUUGUCCCGGAGCUGCUCUGCCCUGCUGCCCAGCCUGGCUGUAGGUGUAAAAGGCCAAGUCCCAGGCCCCUGUAAUUUGAAAUUUGUGAUGUAGGGUGGAGUUGGGGUCUAGAACAUAUUCCUAGAUCAACACAAGAUGUCUGGAGCUGUGAAGUUCCCCUGCAGCACUUUGACUUUUGUCUCAGCUUUCUUUCAGAUGCGGACGGAUGAAAUCGGUGGCCGAGAGCCCCAGCCAGGGUAAGGGGGUUCCCCCAAGAAGGUAAGUCAAUGUUUGUCUUUGCAGGGCAACUGGAACCGGUCACUGUGUUACAGGUCUCCUCUUUGUCUUUAUUUUUAGGAAAUAGAGCCAGCUAGCAGCAGUCAAGGUGAAGUGGGCAAGGCGGUCCAGUCGCGUUUCGUCGAGACCCCGUCGCCGGCCGGCCGGCACGCCUGCUUCGCCGCUCCCGUGAGCCCUGCGGAAGCGUUACAGGGACCGCGUGACGGAGCCUUUUCCACGUAA